rnacentral:rRNA from 1 species
CUACGGGCGGCUCCAGUGGGGAAUAUUGGACAGUGGGGGAAACCCUGAUCCAGCAAUGCCGCGUGUGUGAAGAAGGCCUGUGGGUUGUAAAGCACUUUCGGUUGGGAGGACUGCUUCUAGCACUAAUAUUGUUGGAAGUUGACGUUACCUUCAGAAGAAGCACCGGCUAACUCCGUGCCAGCAGCCACGGUAAUACGGAGGGUGCAAGCGUUAAUCGGAAUUACUGGGCGUAAAGCGCGCGUAGGCGGCUAGAUCAGUCGGAUGUGAAAGCCCCGGGCUUAACCUGGGAACUGCAUCCGAUACUGUCUAGCUUGAGUACAGGAGAGGAGAGUGGAAUUCCACAUGUAGCGGUGAAAUGCGUAGAUAUGUGGAGGAACACCAAUGGCGAAGGCAGCUCUCUGGCCUGAUACUGACGCUGAGGUGCGAAAGCGUGGGGAGCAAACAGGAUUAGAUACCCUCGUAGUC